AUUGAACGCUGGCGGCAGGCCUAACACAUGCAAGUCGAGCGGAUGAAGGGAGCUUGCUCCUGGAUUCAGCGGCGGACGGGUGAGUAAUGCCUAGGAAUCUGCCUGGUAGUGGGGGAUAACGUCCGGAAACGGGCGCUAAUACCGCAUACGUCCUGAGGGAGAAAGUGGGGGAUCUUCGGACCUCACGCUAUCAGAUGAGCCUAGGUCGGAUUAGCUAGUUGGUGGGGUAAAGGCCUACCAAGGCGACGAUCCGUAACUGGUCUGAGAGGAUGAUCAGUCACACUGGAACUGAGACACGGUCCAGACUCCUACGGGAGGCAGCAGUGGGGAGUAUUGGACAAUGGGCGAAAGCCUGAUCCAGCCAUGCCGCGUGUGUGAAGAAGGUCUUCGGAUUGUAAAGCACUUUAAGUUGGGAGGAAGGGCAGUAAGUCAAUACCUUGCUGUUUUGACGUUACCAACAGAAUAAGCACCGGCUAACUUCGUG
rnacentral:rRNA from 1 species